rnacentral:rRNA from 1 species
GAUGAACGCUAGCGGGAGGCCUAACACAUGCAAGCCGAGCGGUAUUGUUUCUUCGGAAAUGAGAGAGCGGCGUACGGUGCGGAACACGUGUGCAACCUGCCUUUAUCUGGGGGAUAGCCUUUCGAAGGAAGAUUAAUACUCCAUAAUAUAUUGAACGGCAUCGUUUAAAUAUUGAAAGCUCCGGCGGAUAGAGAUGGGCACGCGCAAGAUUAGCUAGUUGGUGAGGUAACGGCUCACCAAGGCGAUGAUCUUUAGGGGCCUGAGAGGGUGAUCCCCACACUGGUACUGAGACACGGACCAGACUCCUACGGGAGCAGCAGUGAGGAAUAUUGGUCAAUGGGUGCAAGCCUGAACAGCCAUCCCGCGUGAAGG